rnacentral:rRNA from 1 species
UACGGAGGGUGCGAGCGUUGUCCGGAAUCAUUGGGCGUAAAGGGCGCGUAGGUGGCCCGGUCAGUCUUUGGUGAAAGCGCGGGGCUCAACCCUGCGUCGGCCAGGGAUACUGCCGCGGCUCGAGCACUGUAGAGGCAGGCGGAAUUCCGGGUGUAGCGGUGGAAUGCGUAGAGAUCGGGAGGAACAUCAGUGGCGAAGGCGGCCAUCUGGGACAACACUGACGCUGAAGCACGAAAGCGUGGGGAGCAAACAGG